rnacentral:rRNA from 1 species
AGUAAGGAAUAUUGGUCAAUGGACGCAAGUCUGAACCAGCCAUGCCGCGUGGAGGAUGAAGGUCCUCUGGAUUGUAAACUUCUUUUAUCUGGGAAGAAAUCCAUCUUUUCUUGGAUGGUUGACGGUACCAGAUGAAUAAGCACCGGCUAACUCCGUGCCAGCAGCCGCGGUAAUACGGAGGGUGCAAGCGUUAUCCGGAUUCACUGGGUUUAAAGGGUGCGUAGGUGGGCAAGUAAGUCAGUGGUGAAAUCUCCGGGCUUAACCCGGAAACUGCCAUUGAUACUAUUUGUCUUGAAUACUGUGGAGGUCAGCGGAAUAUGUCAUGUAGCGGUGAAAUGCUUAGAUAUGACAUAGAACACCAAUUGCGAAGGCAGCUGGCUACACAAAUAUUGACACUGAGGCACGAAAGCGUGGGGAUCAAA